rnacentral:lncRNA from 12 species
UUACCCUGCUAAGGGCUGAGUACAGGACAGGCAGGUUUCUAAGAAGAGGAGACCUUUGCAACAACAUGUCGAGGAGGGCCAAAGCGUUGACUUUAAACAAGGUGAAGAGCAAGUACUCGCCCAGGUCAAUCUGUCCCACGCGUGGCCUGUUUUGCUCUGGGUUAGUUGCUCUAACGGUGCCGAGGUCAUGUGGGCCAUACCCUCACCUCCAAGCAGGACCACACCUGAGGUGAGUGCGUUUCAUGUCUGAGGGGUUCCUGAGAAAGCUUUCACAACUUCUUUCAAAGAUAACCUCUGCUUGUCUUUAAAAGAAUCACUAUUGGGAAACCCCUGUUUGUAUUUUACCUGGAUGCCUCUCGUCCUGAAGUUUCUUGAUUCUUGAUGGAGAUGCUGAAAUCAGUCACCUGGGCCUUCAAACAUGGAUGACGUCAUAAUGGCAGUUCUGAAGCAUGUCUCGUUUGUAAAUAACAGAGGAGGGUGCCUGAAUAUCCCGAGCAAAGGGAUCUAAUUAGAGAUCUCUCUAGCUCUCUGUUCUUUGCCCUUGCUACUCAAAGCAUGGUCCGUGGACCGAGUUAACAUCACCUCAGAGCUCAGUAGACUUGCAGGACUGAAUCAGAAUCUGCAUUUUAACAUGUUCCCCAGGCCAUCCAUAGGCAAGUUCAUUUUGGGAAGCCCUGCCUUGGAUCAGCCUAAGACCAUCUAAAAGUGGGUGGGCGGUGACAGGUACCAGAGAUUUGAUAUUGCAGUGAGCCUCAGCAAGUGGUUAGAAAAAUUGAACUGGUUCAACAGGAACCAGACUUUCUCUGGAACUUCCCUGCCCCCGGGUCAUGCACAGCGUUUCAGCUGAAGUCAGAGAUGUUGGGUGCAUUUCCCCAUUGUGUGGCUGGGAGGAGCGCUGAGGGCAAGGGGACGCACCCCUGGUGCUGAAAUGCUGUCAGGUGGAAAGCAACUCUCCAUGCGCUCCCCUAGGCAGCAGAGACACUUCCCCAAACCCCCCCAAGUGUGGACAGUUUGUUCCUUGUCCUCUUUGCCUGGUCCCUAAGGGCCCCAGUUAAGUAGUUAGGGUGGUUAGGGUGACUCUUGCUUUGU